CUGUUUAGAAGACCAAAACGAUAUUGGUUUUGGUGUUUUGGUUUUGGGCCUAUAUCUCGUUUGGUGUGGCCUGAUGUGGUAUUGAAUAAUGUCAAAACAAUACCAGAUUUGGGCCAAAACCCAUAUCAAGUGAUACCAAACACUGUAGCGGUGAUAUGAGGUAUAAAAUCAAAAUUUUCUCUAAAUUAGGUCAUUUGUGCCUAUCGUUUCUCUCUUUUCUCCCGCAUGUAUGAGAGGCGAGGCGAUUUGGGGUGAUUCAUGUCUACCUUUGAUAUACAAAGGUUGUGCUUGCAGAAAUUCGAGAGUUUGUAGAUCCAACAUAAAAGUAGUCGUUGUUGUACCUCUGUGUUGUCUGAUUUGUCUCUGUUUUCGCGCAUCUCUUUGACGCGAUUUUUGGGUUUCAACUUGAACCCUAAUGUUGUUGAGUCGUCGUGCGAUUUAUUCCUCAGUUGUGGCUAUCGUACCUCUUUGUUGUCUCAUUUCUCUCUGUUUUCAAGCAUCUGUGUGACGCGAUUUUGGGGUUUCAACUUCAACCCUUCAGUUCAGUCGUUGUGCGAGGUAGUUCGACGCUUUUGUGCAACCAAGUGUUUGAAGUCACUGCAGGUAACACCACUACCAAACCCUAACCCUAACCCUAAUUACUACCAAACCCUAACCCUAAUUACGACUCUAUUUAUUUAUGUGCAAGCAGGUCUUUGUAUGUAUUAUCGAUUCUCAGAUGUAUAUGGGAUUUUUUUUAAUUAUGUUAUAGGUAUUCUGGAUUGUCAGAUGUAUGUGGUAAAUAUUUAGAAAUAAAAAAUUUAAUUUAAUUAAUUUUUAGAGAUAUGAAAAUCAGAAAUUAGAAACUGGAAACUGGAAAUUGAUGCAACUAUAUCAGAAAUUUUUGUCACAUGAUCGCCCCUAUCACAUACCGCUUGUAUAGGACUAUGUCAAUUUAGUUUAAAAACGUAACAUAUUACUUUCGUUUCAAAUUAAAUGUUGUCAUUAAAAGUUAUAAUUCAUAUUUGACACUUAAUUUGAAACCGAAGAAAUAUUAUAUAUUGUUAUUGUUUUUUUUAUUUAAUGUUAUUGAGUAUUGCAUUAUCAAUUUAUAUAUAGGCACAGCAUUGUAAUACAUUUGUUGAAUUGUAGAUUAAACAGUGGUGCAACAUUAAUUUAAAAACAGUGGGCACAACAUUGUAAUAAUUUUGUGUGUUGCACAAUAUCAGUACAAGAGUGAAAAGGCGCUACGUCUCAAGUUGACCGACCACACGUACAGAUGGAAACAAACAGUGUGUCAUUAAUUUGAUGCUUUUCCAGUCUUUGUUUUCAUACUUUUGUCCCUUAGCAUGUAAACCUUUUUCGGGGAAGGCCAUUUCUGUGUACACUAAAAGCCACCAAAGACCAACACAAAUGGUUGGAUUUCCAAAAUUAAGGUUGAUAGGGAAAUUUGUGAGCCUUUGAUAUAAGUUACAUAACCUUGAAUUUGAUACUUUGAUAGAGUUUUAAGAUUUGAAAUCAUAUAAUUUGACAGCUGUAAUAUAAUAAUUCUCUUGUGUGUAAUUUGAAGGUAGAAAAUUUAAGAACAAUAUAGGUUUGAAAUAAUUACUGUAUUAAUUUCUUGAAAUUAUAAAUUUAAUUGAAUUUUCACUUUAAAUUUAAAUUAUAUAAACAAUUUACUAAUGUGUUAAAUUUACUUAAUAAUAAUCAGAUGGACAUAAACUAUGACAAUGUUGACCAAUGCCCAUCAGGAGACAUUCAUUCUCUUGAUGGUGAGAAUGGUGAGGACGUUGUAGUUAUUGAACAGGCCGAUGUUGCUGUUUGGUGUGAUGCCCAUCAAGAGAAAUUCAUGCUCUUGAUGGAGGAUGAAUUUCUCUUGUUUAUUGUGAUUGUCUUCUUCUUGCUCAUUAUCGUUGUUAUUGAAAGAUGAAGUUAGAUAAACUUCCAUCUUUUAUAAUAUAUGACAUGUAAUAGGUAUUUAGUUAAUUUUCUGUGUUUCAUUUGGUAUGUAAUAUAUACUUAAUUUUCUGUACUUGGAUGACCUUGCUGCUGAGAACUAUAAAUGCUAUAUUUUGAAUUGCGUAUUAAAUGGUAUAAAUGUGUUUGGUGUUGCACGAGGUCAUUUACACUCUAAAUUUGCAACUUAGCCUGAAAAAAGGUUAGAUAUAUCUUGUGGUUGUUGGAAUACUUUAGGAGGAGAACGGGCAAUUUUACUUGGAUUUGUGGAUUAAUUUUGUGGGCGGUGUCCCUUAUUGAAUUGAUUGAAUAAAUUUUGUGGGCAGUGUCCCUUGUUGAAAUAAUUUUGUGGGCGGUGUCCCUUGUGUUUAUUGUGUUAGGUUCAAAUUUGAAAAUAUCCAUUUUUAAGGGGAAAUCAUGCCGGAUUUUUGAAAAAAAAAAAAAAAAAUGAAUUUAAACUUUGAUUCCGAAAAGGCAUGUGGUUGAUUUUUUAAACUUGAAAUGGAUUUUUUAAAUAUAUAACAAUAGGAAAAAUGUGAAAUAUAUAACUGUGAAACAUAUAACAAUUUUUCAGGCUUAGUAAAAUGCAGUUGUUUCGUGGUGGAGUUGAAGGACAUGGCAGUAACUUGCGGGCAGUGGCACCAGUGGGAUUUAUAGGAAGCAUUCUCUAGUUGCUGCAACUCCAGGAAGCUAGUGAUCUCAAAUGGAGGCCCAUGCAAGUAUAAAGAAGUGUGUGUAUAUUUUAUGGAAUGAAUUUUAGUGAGUUCUAGAUGUAGGUAUAUGUGAAUGGUGCAACAACAAUUUAUUAUA